UAUAUAUAGGUUCAUUUCCAAUUAACAAAUUUUUUGCAAGAAAGGAAAGAAAAAAAAUUAAAAAAAUAUUUCGACCUCAGAUUAGGUGGGAUUCCCCGCUGAAUUUAAGCAUAUUAGUAAGCGGUGGAAAAGAAACCAACAGGGAUUCCCUUAGUAGCUGCGAGUGAACAGGGAUUAGCCCAGCACUGAAUCCCAAAAGCAUUGCUUUUAGGGAAAUGUAGUGUUUGGGAGGGCUCAAUUAACCCCAAGAUAUGUGCAUUUCGCCCAAGUCCAUCUUGAACGAGGCCUGGCACCCUCUCGGGACCGUGGCCUCGUUCAAGAUGGACUUG
rnacentral:ncRNA from 1 species